ensembl:lncRNA
AUGGAGGAGGCACGAGCUGUUGAGUUCGCUGACUGCCGCACCGGGAGCGCGCGCGUAACCGUGUGUUCUCUCUCUCGCACUCUCUCUCUCUUUCUUCAUCAGCGAUGUAAUGUUAUUAUGGGGCGAUCUCAUCUCCGAUUUAUGUUCAGAGAAAUAAACUCCUUUUGGGGAGGGGCAGGUGGGAACCUGGGAGGUGGCUCAGGAGGAGGAUGGACACCCGGGAGGGGGCCGGCAGACAGAGUCCAGGGAGGUGAUGAAGGAGGAAGGAGCCAGGAGGGACUUGGAGCAGGAGGAGCCAAGCUGGACCCAGGCCACUGCCAUUACGGUGGCCCACGGUGGAGCUGAUGGAGGGCGGAGCCAUGGAGGAGGACUGGCCGCCGACUUCAGGGGGCUGACCAACAAUGGCUGAGCAGGUGGCGGAGGAGCCCUAGGCGGAGACGGAAAGUCAUGAGCCAGGGGGAUGCCAAGGAUCUGGGGGGCCAGGGUGGAGCUGAGAUCUCUGGCGACUGAGGUUGGAGAUCCGGAGAUCUACGGCAGAGCCGGAGCGACUAAGGACCAAGUUGGAGCUGGCGGGAGGAAGGAGCCCAAUGGAGCCGGUGGGAUGGAGCGACGAGAUGCAGCCGGAGGAGCUGCAACUCUUCCUACAUAAAGUAGUGACGUAGACAUGUGGGGAUGUGUUUAAACAACAAUAUUAAAAUCCACAUGGACAAGUCUUAACUUUUAUAAAGAAUAUCUCUUUGGAUUUGAGACUUUAGUCUUUGCAACUUUACAGAUCGUCUUUAUGCACCAAGAGCUUGUAACACUCCAAAGAGAAAGGAAAAAUUGAAAUCGCAUCAUAUGACCCCUUUAACUUAUUGGGAGACAACCGGUAUGUUCUAUAUGAAAUCAUAACAUAGCCAAAAUUUAUAUACAAUAAUGGCAUCAACAUCAUUCUUAAUGCAUGACAGGAGUGAAAGGAAUGUCUUUUUUACAUCGAAAUGUCUUUACACCAUUAAAUAAUACAUUUUCAAGGUGUCCUUUGGCCCGAAACAACAUUUCUCUUGUGUGCUUCUGUCACAGUUCAUCAGCCACCCUGCAAUCUCUCCAUCCUCAAAAACAAAAAUAUGGCAAUGUCAAUCACAUACAAACUCGUCUUCCAUCACUAAAGUACUUGACAGGUCCAGCUUUAAAUGCAGCCAUUACUCACAGUGACAGCAAAGUGACUUGACAUUGGAAAGGUUAUUUAAAGAUAUUGUACUUUAAUGAAAGUGGAACGCUUAUUCCUCUAUGUAUUUUGGAUCUCUAGAAGACCUGAGUCAGUUUGUGCCAACAUAUUCUUUAUUUCGAAAGAAAUGUUGGCACACUAGUGCAUUUUAUAACUUUUCACCCUGCUAAGUACAGUCAUGGUCAACGGAGUCAAUAGGUCUGUUGAUUUGAGGCAGGUGUCAUGUUAUGCUUCAGCUCUCUUUGAUGUAUCAGGUCACGGAUGCACAUGAAUCUUUGGACAAGCAACACCCAAAAAUAACACCAGGAGCGUGAGGCAGUUGGUGGAGCCAUGUUUCAGUGUGGCAGAAAGCCCGGGCACAGUCUGUGCCCCAACUAUGAGCAUGCCGUACUUAUGCCAAAAAGACAUGAAAGACCACCAGGAUUAUUAGAACAUAGGAUAAAUCCCCUCGUCCACAAUAAACUCCUUUCAACCAAAGCA